ensembl:lncRNA
GCCUCUUUCAUCUCUCAGAAAACUGAGCCUGUAAUUAUAUUCCACAUCCUGCUACAGACAGCUUUUAUAUCAUUGCCAGGCACUUGUUCUUCCUAGGUAUGUUAACGUGCCAUUUCUGAGGUUUUCAUAAUUUUUAGGUAUGGAUGAUUCAUUCUGAGCAGCGUUGAAGGAGUCUUGAAAACUUCUGUCUCUUUUUUUUUCCACGUAUUUUUUACAAACUCAGUCACAGCUUCCCAUAGACAUGAGUUCGAAACAGAGCAUGUGCAGCCUCCGUAUUUACAGAAAUACCUCUGACUUAACACAAAAUGAGCAGUGAAAGCUGAAUCCUUCCCUGCCACGGCAAACGGGGAAGGAAAUGCUGGAAGGGAGAUCCUGCGGAGGAUAAGAGUGCAAAGGCAGCAAGGAGGGGAGGGGGCAGGCAGGUGGGGAGCGCGAUAACCAGCAGGGUUAUCUCUGAGGGAUGCGUGCCAGGUCAUGUGCUGAUAUUUCUCUGAAGCGGAUGAUGGGCAGGAGUUUGGCAAUAAUAAAUGGGAUAAGAGUGUUUGCGUAAACACGGACAGGAUGCGGGCUGGUGCUGUGAAAACAGCUGCAGACACCGCUGGUGGAGUGGGGUCUGACCUGCUCUGCUUAAACUGUAAAGAUAGUUCAUUCAUCAUGGAGUACUGCCACUGGAAAUGAGCAUGAAGAGAGAUUCAAGUUCCGCUCAGAAAAACUGAAGGACAGAGCUGCAUAGUUCACCGUGUCAAGCUCAUGUAUUUAUGGUUCAAAGGGCUCUCCUCACCCCCAGACUUGAAGCUUACAGAGGAAUCCAAGGCAGUUGGUGCUUAUUCUAUGAAACAAGGAAUUUGAAAACUACUCGAAUCUACAUACUGUUAACCUCAUUCAGAGAAGAAGCAGCGCACAGAGGCACCGAAAACGUAUCAGAUAUCUCAAGAAGGUGGAUCUAAACGAUGGAAGUUUACCCUCACUCAGAAAGCUGAGGGACUGUAUGGGAAGAAGCUGCCUUCCAUACUUUUCCAAAUGUGCAUGAUGUCUUUAAGAAGAGAAAACAAACACAAUUCACUCAUAAAAGCCUGUCACUACUUGCUGGUCUUCCUACAGCUUCAUAAUAGUUCAAUCUGCAUGGUGCCUAAAAUGCAGUACAGCUAUUCAGGUCAUCUAUUAUCCAUGGAAGAGCUAAAAAUUUGCUAGCUUCCAUGUUGGACUGCAAAAUUUUCUACAGUCUUCCUUACUUACAUACUUAUAUGUAUCCCAAAAUGAACUCUUAAAGUUGUAAUUGAGAAAGAAGUGUCUAAAACCAUCUCCAGAGAGCCCAUUCUCGCAUCUAGUAUCCAUGAGCAGCAUUGAGUUUAGCUCAAAAUCCAUUUAGUGCUUCCAUUUGGCACUAGCAGUCAUGUUCUGCCCAUGGAGAGAACUCUUCCAGUAGACUGCUCUCACCAGCAGCCUGGAUAAUAGCUUCGGAUGAGGCCCAUAUCUGCCCUCCCGGUAACUCUCAGUAGCUCACUCACGAGAUAGGAAUAAUAUUUACAUUUUGCAUUAUGGAGUUGACUAAACUGCACGCAUACAACCAGCAUCAGAGUUUCAAUCCCAAAGACUUCUCAUUUCAAAAAAGUAUUUUUAGCAUUGGAAGACAGGGAGUUUGAGUCUGUUUUGGGAGUUUCAUUAUCCUAUUUACUCUUAAAAAUGUCUUGGUGGCCAGAGAUACUUCUGGCAAAGCCAAACCUGCUCACACUUCAGGUGAUUUCAACAGCAUUUUCCACUGAAGACCUCCAUGCAGAACUCCAUGUCAGUAUAUGGGAGUCCUGAGUCAGCUGGCAGCCCUAAGCAAUCAGGACAAAGCAGCCAGUGCCUCAUACAGGUGCACUGAAUCCCUUUUUACAAGGUCUUACAAUUUUUAACUGGCUGUGAAAGAAAUCAUACAGUACUUUCCUGGCACAGCAGCACAUCAGUUCCAGAUAUGGAAAUAACUUCGAUGCAAAGUGGUGAUGAAUGGCGUUCUCUGCUUGUUUCUUAAG